rnacentral:lncRNA from 1 species
UCAGCCAAUGAAAAGCCAUUGGCCCUACAAGGUUGUUGCUGGAACCGUCAUGGCGGCUCUACUUUGAACUCCCAGUCUACUCACUCUAGUGGGCUUUCUGUGUAUAACUUCCCAACUUCCCCUUUUCCUCUAGAAAAGAGCAUUCCUCUCUUCUGUGGGGAUGACUUACCUGAUAUCAGUUCUGUAGAGAGUGCAUCCUCUGGGUGGUGAUUCUCUGCUAUUCUCAAAUUAACCCAUUUUUGCUGGCAAAAUAACUGACAGUUUUGUUUUUUAAGGUUAAUGUUACUUGGUGAUUAGAAGUGGAAUGCUAAGAAGACCCCCACCAACUCCAAGGCCGGUAAACAGACAUGCCAGCAUGGCCACAGAGUCAGCUGGGCACCUACUGCUUUCUGGCUGACCCUGGAGUUUGAGGGUGCCUGUGUGGCUCAGUUGGUUAAGCAUCAGACUUUGGCUCAGGUCAUGAUCUCAGGGUCCUUGGAUAGAGCUCCCAGUCUGACUCCAUGCUCAGCAGGAAUCUGCUUGUCUUCUCUCCCUUCCCCCACUCAUGCUGUCUCUGUCUCUCUCUCUCUCAAAUAAAAUAAAAUGUGUAAAAAAAG